rnacentral:lncRNA from 1 species
UAAAUAGCUAUCGCGGGAGACAUCACGCUAUGGCCGACUAUUUACCCGUUGUUGGUUGAGAAAUCUUCGUUUCUUUAAUAUAUUUGUGCUGUCGUAGACUUUCAACCGUCACUUUCUUGGAAACACAAUGCCCGUUCCGGUGCAAGGCGCCUACCAACGAGGUCCCAGCUGCUGGGAUCGUGUGAAAAUGGGCUUCACAAUUGGAUUCUGCGUAGGCAUGGCAUCAGGAGCGCUCUUUGGAGGUUUCUCCGCUCUCAGAUACGGCCUGAGGGGGCGAGAACUGAUCCAGAGUGUUGGCAAAGUGAUGCUACAGGGCGGCGGCACAUUCGGAACGUUCAUGUCCAUAGGAACUGCAAUAAGAUGCUGAAAGUGUAUAGUCCAACAUACUUCACGUGUCGCUCAUCUGUGCCGACAUGCGUGACAAAGUACGAACAGAAAUGUGUCUUUUGCAUGACGGAGCCGCUCACCUUGUUGAUAAAAGAUGUUAUACCCCCCAAUCAA